AUAAUGAGAAUUAAAGUAUUAGUAUUUAUUUUUGUUAUUAAAAUUAAAUUCAGUUUGUUCCUGCAUAAAUCUUCUUAGUACUAAACUGCUUUGGAAUGAUUUUUUUUGGGGGACAACAGCAGGAUUAGGGCCAUCUUCUAGAUGCCAUCAGGUAGGUGCGCUAGCGUAGUUUGUUGUAAAAUUAUAUCCCUUUUCCCCCUUUUUAAAAAAUGUUUGUAAGACGCCUGAAAUUUGUAUAAGUUAGUUAUAUUAGUAGUUGAAUAAGAAUUGGUGAGACUUGGAAAAUAGAAGAGGGACAGAGAAGAUGGAAGAGGAUUGCUUUGAAAUAGAAGGAAAGGAGAUAGAAGAUGUUUGAGGAAAGGAGGAGGAUUGUGUUCGCUGUAACGGAAGUUUUUUGAAGGAAAUUUGGAACAACUGUAUUAAGAUGCUAUUGGUAUCUCGGACAUGAAGUUUCAUUUAUUUAUGCAUUAUACAAGCAUAUCUGUUGGUGGAAAUGUGGAAUGACAGCUGUUAUAACAACUUGGAUGAAUUAUUAGAAACAUCAAAGAAGUUUUGACAUAAUUUAAACUGGGAAAAGGCUCACAAAUGACCACUUUAUUCUACAGUAGAUACAGGACAUUAAAUUGACUUCAACAACGCAGAUAUCUCUCAAAAAUGAUAUCUGUUUGAGUGAUGUACUAGGCGUUAACAGUUGGCUAUUACAAAUCUGCAAAUGAGUUAGAACUGUACAUAAGUUUGAUGAAUGCCGGAGGAAUUUUUUGAAUGGAAUGAUACUGAAAAUCUUACCCACAAAUGACAAUUUCCACUAAGAAAAUGUAAGCAAUACAAAUUGGUAUUAAUGGACGUUUUGACAGCUGUUUCCAGUCCAAGUUCCACUUUUAAUGGAAAAUCUUUAAUGGACACAGAAAAAUGUCAUUUACUGGAUUGACUUCAACACCUAUUGCGGUAUACCCCUGUUGCCUUUUAAUAUUGGUGUGAUAUUGGUAUACAAUGGGACAAUAAUUGUUGUUAGAAGUCAACAAGUAGUACUAGUUGCAAAUAAUAUAUUAUGGCGGACAUCAAAAAGCUUUAAAUGGAAUGAAACUUGCAGAAAAAAACUCAGAAAGACCAUUUAGGACUGUACUUAAUAGCUGUUAGAGUGGAUGCAGUCCUUUAUCAAUGGUGUACGAUGGGACAAUUGCUGUUAAAAAUCCACAAGCCAUACUAUCUGCAAAUAUGGUGGGCAACCAAAAGCUUUAAAUGGAAUAAAACCUGCAGGAAAAGACUCAGAAAGACUAUUUAGGACUGUGCUUAAUAGCUGUUAGUGUGGUCGCAGUCCUUCAUCACUGAUAUCUCCGCAUUUUCCUCCUUGCUUCCCUCUAUCACUCAACAUGAAGCAGACUCAAUACUCCACAAUGCCUCACCAAGGUUCGUUAGUUUGAUUAAUUGUGUUAUUGUUUCAAUAAAUUUGUUUAUUGGUUUUUAUCCUCUUACUAUAUAAUUAUAUCAGGCGUCAUUUUAAUGUUAAUUUUUUGUAAAAUUUUGAUAAUCUGGACAGAAAUCUUUUUUUUUCUGAAGCUCUUAAACACUAGUUAAGAACAAUACUUUAUUUUAUGAAUAGGACGAUUAUCUCUGUUUAUAUUGCCUUUAUAUUUAUUUAUUUUGAUGCUCUAUUUAUUAUCUAAUUGCCUCUAGUUUGAGGCAUGUUUGAUUAAUUUUAAAUCAUUAAAAUCUCUACAUUAAUCUUUAUAAAAAAUAUGUUGAGCAAUGUAAUAGUAAUCUGUUUUAAUUUUUCAUCUCUUAUGCUUUUUUUCAAUCUCAUUUAUCUUUUAUUUUUGCAUUCAUUAAAGGUCAUUAGAUAUUGUAAUUAUUAUUAAUUAAAUUGUUAGUUGUAUUAUAACGUAAUAUUUUUUUAAUAGAAUUAAAGACAUUAUUAAUAAUUUUGUAUCAUUACCAAUUAUUUAUAGUAGUAGUUCUUUAAUUAUUUUUGUCUUGUACUGUUUAUAAUUUCCUAAGCUACUCUAAAUUUAUUCCAGAUUAUCAAAAUUAUAAGUUUUAUACUUGCGCAGCUGCGUCACUAUAACUCUAUGAACACAUCAAGUAAUAUUUUGGUUCUAAAGUUUAUAUUUUUUAAUAUUUUAUUUAUUGUAUUAACACAAACUAAAUUUUAUGGAAUUUAUCUAGCUAUAUCUACGAUCAGGACUUAAUCAUUCUUUAUAAGUUCUGGAAUGAUUAUUUUUAGUAAAAUAAUCCAUUUUGUUAAUACUUGUGUUCAUAUAUUUUUUUUUUUGCUUUUGUGAAUUAUUUUUGGUACCCUAGGACAGCGGCGUGCAUCGAGAGUGAUAAUGGCGGUAAUUACCCUUCCCAGAAAGAAAUUUAGAAAUAAAAUAAAAAUAGUUACAAUUCCAGUUUUUUUUCACAGUUAAAAAAAACUUUUUAGCAAAAAUUUAAUUUGAAUCUACUAGUUUACUUAAAUAUUGCCAUUGCCCCUCCCAGACCCAAUUUCUAGAUGCGCCACUGUCCUAGAGACAGAUGUUUUUUUCGUGAUUGAUCAAUUUUCAUGAUUAUAAAAUAAUAUUUUUUUCAAACGCCACGAAGUAUAAAUUUUUGCUACGUGAUUGACGAUAUAAAAAAAUCAUUUUAACGCCUAGGCCAUAAAAGUACGAAAAAAUAUAUUAUUAAACUGACAUGUGUGAAACUAUGUCAAAUUUAACAAGCGUAAUCGUAGUUUCUGGAUAUAUAAUUACUUUUUUUUUCAUAGCAACUGUUAAAAUUGCCUUAUAUAUGUAUCUAUCAAAAAUAGUAG